rnacentral:rRNA from 1 species
UACGUAGGGUGCAAGCGUUAAUCGGAAUUACUGGGCGUAAAGCGUGCGCAGGCGGUUAUAUAAGACAGUUGUGAAAUCCCCGGGCUCAACCUGGGAACUGCAUCUGUGACUGUAUAGCUAGAGUACGGUAGAGGGGGAUGGAAUUCCGCGUGUAGCAGUGAAAUGCGUAGAUAUGCGGAGGAACACCGAUGGCGAAGGCAAUCCCUGGACCUGUACUGACGCUCAUGCACGAA